CUACCAUAUGAUGAAUAUGGAUUUACAUUUUCUCACGACGGUCGUCUGAGAUUCACUUUGAUGUAAUCAUCCAAUAUUUCUGAGUGGUUUGACCUACUACUGUUUUACUAUUAACUGCUCAUCACUUGCUCUGUCUUCCAUGGACUAUAAGUUUGCAGUACUGUACUUAGUUGUUUUUUUUGUUGUCAUUUGUAUGGUUGAUAACCAUAUGAUGAACUUGGAUUUACAUUAUCUCAUGACGGUCAUCUGAGAUUCACUAUGAUGUAAUCAUCCAAUAUUUCUGAGUGGUUUGACUUCCUACUGUUUUACUAUUAACUGCUCAUCACAUGCUCAGUCUUCCAUGGACUAUAAUUGUGAAGUACUGUACUUAGUUACUCUUUUUUUCAGUCAUCUGUAUGGUUGAAAACCAUAUGAUGAACUUGGAUUUACAUUAUCUCAUGACGGUCAUCUGAGAUUCACUAUGAUGUAAUCAUCCAAUAUUUCUGAGUGGUU